rnacentral:rRNA from 1 species
UACGAAGGGGGCUAGCGUUGUUCGGAAUUACUGGGCGUAAAGCGUGCGCAGGCGGCUUCUCAAGUCAGGGGUGAAAGCCCAGAGCUUAACUCUGGAAUUGCCUUUGAGACUGAGAGGCUUGAGUACGGGAGAGGUGAGUGGAAUUCCCAGUGUAGAGGUGAAAUUCGUAGAUAUUGGGAAGAACACCGGUGGCGAAGGCGGCUCACUGGCCCGUAACUGACGCUCAUGCACGACAGCGUGGGGGAUCAAAUAGG